GCCUUUGUGGUGUAACGGUCAGCACGCUCAACUCGCAUUCAAGAGGUUCGUGGUUCGAGUCCUUGCGAAAGCA
rnacentral:tRNA from 1 species